GACGAACGCUGGCGGCGUGCUUAACACAUGCAAGUCGAGCGGUAAGGCCCUUUCGGGGGUACACGAGCGGCGAACGGGUGAGUAACACGUGGGUGACCUGCCCUCAGCUCUGGGAUAAGCCUGGGAAACCGGGUCGUAAUACCGGGAUAUGACUCCAUGACGCAUGUUGUGGGGUGGAAAGCCUUGUGCGGCUGAGGAUGGGCCCGCGGCCUAUCAGCUUGUUGGUGGGGUGAUGGCCUACCAAGGCGACGACGGGUAGCCGGCCUGAGAGGGCGACCGGCCACACUGGGACUGAGACACGGCCCAGACUCCUACGGGAGGCAGCAGU
rnacentral:rRNA from 1 species